rnacentral:rRNA from 1 species
UGCGUAGGCGGUUUACUAAGUCAGAUGUGAAAGCCCCGGGCUUAACCUGGGAACUGCAUUUGAUACUGGUAGGCUAGAGUAUGAUAGAGGGGGGUAGAAUUCCUGGUGUAGCGGUGAAAUGCGUAGAUAUCAGGAGGAAUACCAGUGGCGAAGGCGGCCCCCUGGAUCAAUACUGACGCUGAGGUACGAAAGCGUGGGUAGCAAACAGGAUUAGAUACCCUGGUAGUCC